CAGAGAAACUAUUCCUUUCUUGCUCCAAAUUAAGAAGAAAAAAAUGAUCACAACAUUCUGAUGUGUCUGCAGUCGGCCGCUCUGUGUAAAGCAAGCCCCAGUAACAGUCUUCACUUUGAAUGAGUUUGCAAUCUGUCAGACUGUAACUCUCACAGGCUUGGUGUUGGCAAUUAGAUUCCUUUGGCAUGUGUCUGUAAUUUUUAGACCAAAGGUAUUGUUCAACAAAGAUUUCGGCAUCCGGAAACUUAGACUUUCUUUGAGUUGAAUUCCGAAAAACAUUUUUCUUUUUGGCUUAAUUUUCAAGUUUUUUUUUUUCUCUCUCUCUCCCAGAGUCAGUUAAAAUGUUCAGAUUGUUGUCAAAGUGUCAGUCAGCAGUUUUUGCCACAGCAGAAAGUCUUCGAUUUUCAAAGCAUAACAAACAGACUUUACAUUUGCUCUCCAGAUGUAACUGAAGCCUCAAACGCUGACAUGCUCAACAAAGCCAAAAUAAAGCCUCUCGCUGCAUCGUUACUAAGCUUGAGAAGGCCAACUUCAGUGACCCGCACCUGAGCACAGACGCACGGCCUGGGAAAGGAUGGAAAGAACCAGGCCUAGUUCAGGGGCUCACGGUGAGGCCCUGAUCGCUGCUAUCGUCUGUCUUUCAAGACCUUCAGAAGCUGCAAUUAUGCUCUCGUUUGUCAGUUGAUGAUACCAUGACAGGCCCGGCCUGUUGGCAAGAGCAGCAGCCUAAAGGCAAGUAGGAAACAACAGACAGCAAACAAAUUGUUCUGUAAUGAUCACUGAGUUAUUGCUCAACUCAGCUGCCAAAUCUGACUGUGCAUCUUAAAAGUCUUUAUUAGACAAUAAAGUAUAAUUACAGGGA